rnacentral:misc_RNA from 1 species
AGAAGGUCAGGGAUAUAAACGGAGAAUUUCUUGGUCAAGGCACCAACUUGAAAUUGCCAAGUGACUAUACCCUCUGCAGCAAAGCCAUGGACUAAAACUACUACUGGUUUGCUUGGUUUAGUUAAGGUUUGAGUGUUGGUCUUUUCACCUUUUUGGGAUUUCUGUUUCUCAAUAGUUUCAACCGGAACCCAAAAGUUCAUCACAGUGCCUGGCUCAAUCUCUACUGGAUGGGGUUUCACCCCUGCCAUUUUCAUUAGCCCAUGCAAUAAGGGCCUCUGAGCUGCAACAAGGUUU